rnacentral:rRNA from 1 species
GAGUUUGAUCCUGGCUCAGGAUGAACGCUAGCUACAGGCUUAACACAUGCAAGUCGAGGGGCAGCAUGAACUUAGCUUGCUAAGUUUGAUGGCGACCGGCGCACGGGUGAGUAACACGUAUCCAACCUGCCGAUGACUCGGGGAUAGCCUUUCGAAAGAAAGAUUAAUACCCGAUGGCAUAGUUCUUCCGCAUGGUAGAACUAUUAAAGAACUUCGGUCAUCGAUGGGGAUGCGUUCCAUUAGGUUGUUGGCGGGGUAACGGCCCACCAAGCCUUCGAUGGAUAGGGGUUCUGAGAGGAAGGCCCCCCACAUUGGAACUGAGACACGGUCCAAACUCCUACGGGAGGCAGCAGUGAGGAAUAUUGGUCAAUGGACGAGAGUCUGAACCAGCCAAGUAGCGUGAAGGAUGACUGCCCUAUGGGUUGUAAACUUCUUUUAUACGGGAAUAAAGUGAGGCACGUGUGCCUUUUUGUAU